rnacentral:rRNA from 1 species
AAAAGCUUUCUUUAAUUGAAUAAUUGAAUUUAAUUUUUUAGUGCAAAAGCAAAAAUAAAAAUUAGGGACAAGAAGACCCUAUGAAUUUUUUAUUAAAUUUUAUAAAACUUUAUAUAAAAUUUAAUUUAAUUGGGGUGAUGGAAAAAGAAUAAAUAUCUUUUUUUUAAAGAAAAUUGGUUCCGUUUUUAGCGAUUAAAUGAAAAAAAUACUCUAGGGAUAACAGCGUAAUAAUUUUGGAUAGUUCAUAUAGAUAAAAUAGUUUGCGACCUCGAUGU